rnacentral:rRNA from 1 species
UAGGGAAUCUUCGGCAAUGGACGAAAGUCUGACCGAGCAACGCCGCGUGAGUGAAGAAGGUUUUCGGAUCGUAAAACUCUGUUGUUAGAGAAGAACAAGGACGUUAGUAACUGAACGUCCCCUGACGGUAUCUAACCAGAAAGCCACGGCUAACUACGUGCCAGCAGCCGCGGUAAUACGUAGGUGGCAAGCGUUGUCCGGAUUUAUUGGGCGUAAAGCGAGCGCAGGCGGUUUCUUAAGUCUGAUGUGAAAGCCCCCGGCUCAACCGGGGAGGGUAAUUGGAAACUGGGAGACUUGAGUGCAGAAGAGGAGAGUGGAAUUCCAUGUGUAGCGGUGAAAUGCGUAGAUAUAUGGAGGAACACCAGUGGCGAAGGCGGCUCUCUGGUCUGUAACUGCCGCUGAGGCUCGAAAGCGUGGGGAGCAAACAGG